UUUCCGUAGGUGAACCUGCGGAAGGAUCAUUACCGAGCUCCUGCCCCCCGGGUAGAGAUGCCACCCUUGCGUACCAGACCGUAGUUGCUUUGGCGGGCUGUUGCCCGCCAGAGGUCCCAAACCCUAAGCGUAUGUGCCGUCAGAGUACUAUCUAAUAGUUAAAACUUUCAACAACGGAUCUCUUGGUUCUG
rnacentral:misc_RNA from 1 species